rnacentral:rRNA from 1 species
CCCUUAGAUGUCCUGGGCCGCACGCGCGCUACACUGAGUGUCUGAGAUACGAGUCUGCCUGGUCCGGCAAGGUCUAGGUCAUCGCUAAAAGACACAUCAUGCUUGGGAUAGAUUAUUGCAAAUAUUAAUCUUGAACGAGGAAUUCCUAGUAAGCGCAAGUCAACAGCUUGCGUUGAUUACGUCCCUGCCCUUUGUACACACCGCCCGUCGCUACUACUGAUUGGAUGUUUAAGCGAGGUUCUCGAACUGCUAGCGACUUAGCUUCGGUGAGGUCGCAGUGUGGGAAGUGAACCUAGCUUUGGUGUCUAGAGGAAGUAAAAGUCGUAACA